GUACUGAGGGUACAAAUCCAGUAAAACGUAUAUGUUGUGUUUGUUUUCAGGUGUACUUACAGGGGCACCACGAGGACCGGUGGGUCCAGAAACUCCAACGGCACCGCCCUCACCCUAAAACCAGAGGAGAAAGAAGAAGGUUAAAGCCCCACCAGACUGCUACAGCAGAUGUGGAGAUGAGGAGGGUUUAAUAUCCUAAAACCAGCCAGACCACAUGGAGCACAUGUGAUGACAUCAUUGAUCAGGUGACACUUUCCAGCCAAUGUGAAUGACUCAUACCAUAAAUGAUAUAUCGGUACAACGGACCUCAUCAGAGAGUUCCUUUAGAUGGACUAAAAAAUUGUUCGAGAACUUCUCCACUUAUAAGUUGUGUUUUUACACCUACCUUGGCUCCAUCGCUACCAGCAGGUCCAGGAGCACCACGGCUUCCGGUUGGGCCAGCGACGCCGGGGGCUCCGCGCUCACCAGGGAAACCUCUGUCGCCCUGAAGGAUAGAAGACACACACACAGAGGUCACGACCACUUUAUCUAAAGACCAGAGGAACAGUGUUCAAAAUGGAUGAUGCAGGAUGAACUCACUCUUGAUCCAGAUGGGCCGUGGGGUCCAACCUCACCGGGACCGCCCUGAACAAAAGAGGGAGAGGAGGAGGAAAGAAGAUUUAGAAACCAGAAAAAUACAGGUGUAGGAUGACGAUGUGCUGUGAGCUCAAGUAGUGACUCAAUCUUCCACUAAGAUACGAAGGAUUUGGGCGCUCUUACCUGCUCACCGGGCUUGCCAGUCUCACCAGUAGCACCUUGGGGUCCAGGAAGACCCUGCACAAGGAGGGAAGGUGGAAGAUUUCCAGGGUUAACAAGUGGAAUCGUGGCGCAGCUCAGAGAGAUAUCAACCAAACUAAACACUCUCAAAACCCACCUGGAAUCCGGGAGAACCAACAGGUCCCUGCUCUCCUUUCUCUCCAGCAGGUCCCUGAGCAGAAAGAAGAAAACUGGGUGAUGAGAAACCUCGCAAACGAUGACACUUUUCAUGUUUUUUUAGUUUUGGUUUAAGGCGAGAUACGUACACCAAUACCAGAAGGUCCAGGAGCACCAACAUCACCGUCUUUGCCAGGAGCACCCUGUGAACAAAAACACCCAAACCAAUUAUCACCUGCUCUUUUUGCACUUUCAUUUUGCUAGAAA